GGCGACGGCGUUCUCGCCGGAUGUAGGAACCGACCCGGGGACCGCCGGGGCAACCCGGCGCCCCCGAGACGGGGCGAACCACGGUGAAAUGACGGAUCGUCGGCCCCGCGCCGGCGACUCGCCGAAUGAGUUUCUGACCUAUCAACUCGAGACGGCGGGGUAGAGGCCCGCCGCGGUAACGACGGGUAACGGGGAAUCAGGGUUCGAUUCCGGAGAGGGAGCCCGAGAAACGGCUACCACUUCCAAGGAAGGCAGCAGGCGCGCAACUUACCCUAAUCUCGAUUCGAGGAGGUAGUGACAAGAAAUACCGAUGCGGGACCCUACGGGUGCCGCGUUCGGAAUGAGUACGAUUCGAACCACCUAACGAGGAACGAUCGGAGGGCAAGUCUGGUGCCAGCAGCCGCGGUAAUUCCAGCUCC
rnacentral:rRNA from 1 species